CAUUCUUCUAAUUCGUCCGCCUUUCGCCGCAGGAGGUCGACGAGGAGGCGGAGGUGGGCGACGACGCGGAGGAGAGCGUCGCCGCCGCCAGCAAGUCUGAGCACGAUCUUCGGCUGCAGUUCGAGCGCUUUCUCGAGAGGAUGGACCGCAGGAAGCCCAACUCGCCCAAGGCGCUGCAGGACGCCCUCGACGCCCGCGCGAGGGAGGUCCCCGCCAGGAGUGUGGCAGACGACGACUUUCCAGCUAACUACACACGGAAGUCGCGUCCGUCGAUAUGAAACCUCCUGAAGCCUCUAACUUCUACUGUAUAUGCUGUACAUCUGCUUUUUCCUACUGACUAGGCCUACCUGUUAUUAGGCCUUCCAUAUUGAGCGAGGCCAGGAAAAUAAUCCACGUGUAAAUAUGUCACAGAAAAAAUGAAUGAGACUUUUGUGUACAAAGCGUUCAAAUCCAUUAUAUAAGUAACUGCUGAUCUGCUAUUCAGAGAGCCGCUAUAUCAAAGUCCGUCAAAAUUUCUUUGGUUUAGAAAUAUUAGUUGCGCCAAUCGGAAAGGAGAAAGGAGUGUUCGUCCCAUUCCCGUCCAAUCAGAACUCGAUAUAUGAUACUUCAAACCCCGCCUCUUUUUUCGCAAAUGGCCAAUCGGAACUCGAUAUAACACAUUAAACCCCGCCUUUUUUUCUAGCAAAUGGCCAAUCAAAACUAACUUUGUAUAUACAGUUGCAUCUCAUUUGCUGCCAGUUUAGCGCACAUAUUGUUCUCUCUUUUUCUUAAGAUUACUUAACCAACAUAAGCGGGGAGAGACCUAAUAAUCAUAUAAUCAUUUUUGUAUCUGUAAGUGAUUACCAUGUUGAUAUAUCUGUUGAAUUCGCCUUCCUCGACCUUGUAUGUAACGCGUUAAGCUAAGAAUUUUGCCAGGAUGUGAACGAAGAAAUAAAUCUGAACCUUCUCCUUGAA